GGCGCCCGUUAAGUCUUAUGGGCCAUAAGUAUUGCUUAUAUUUCAGGCUAAAUUCUUAGAAAUAUUUCAUUUUUCUAACCACAAGGUUCCAUUUCUGUUAAAAAUAUUUCGUUUUUACUAAUCACACCAGGUAAACAUGCUUCGUGUUCUGUACGGGAUGUUCAUUUUUUAUUAGCGUAACCGUAGAAAAUGUGCAAAUACAUCAAGUGUUACUGUACCCCAUCUUAAAAUUCAUUCGCCGUGUGAGCAAGACUUUAACUACACACGAAAACAGCUGCUAAAGUGUCGUGUGGCCAUUCCAUUGGACAUCUUCACCUUGUAGCAAUGUGUGGGUGAUGGAAGAGAGCUCCAUCUGUUCUGUAUUUUACACCCAUUGUUUUUUGUAUACAAGUUCAAUUACAAUGAUGAGUGAACAAAAAUUGUAGCUCAUCACUAACAAUUACAACACAGAAGUGUCUUGCCUUGAAAUUAGUAACUAAACAAAUGAAAAUCCUUUUAAUAAUUAUCAGUUGUUUUUUAUCACUUAUAUUCUUGUGUAUGCACUCUGAGAGCAUGCAUACUAGGACGUUCUACACUUAAUAGCUACCUAAAACAUAUUUUCAUUUCUCACGAACAUCUUUCGUCAGCGUAAGAGGAUAAGAUUGGAACAAAUUAUUCUGAAGAAUCCCGGUUACACCACAGUGUAAACACUGAUAACACCUGGAUUUAGCAAGAGGAUGUUACAGAACAAAGAAUUUGGUUCAUCUUGUAUUGUGAACAUCUAGCAUUUUUCCUAUAGCAGCAGAAUGAGCCUGACUGGCAUUCAAAUAAGAAACUCUGAAAAGUAAAAAUGGUAUUCAAUUUCUGAGAGAUGGAGAGAAACAAUUUCUUGAAUCACAAGCAUGUAAUUAAUGGUUAUGUCAGUUUUGUAUAUAAAUGAUGCCCAAGAAAAGCAAAGAUGCACCAAUUAUAAUUGUCAAUGGCAAGAUACUUAUUUAAACAUAUCAGAAGUCAAUGAAAUACAAACAUACUAUCCCAGGGUGAAAACAUGAAACAGAAACUGAGCACAUUGUAGGUGCAUACUUAAAUAAUGAAGUUUAAGAAAAGUAUACUUUCGUUCCUAUUUUCAUGAAACUAUAUUUUCAUUUUCUCUCAUUUGUAACUCUUAAAAUUGUAUGAUAAGCCUGUAAGUAACUUUCUGCUAUAGCUGUCAAAUAACAAGAAAUAGUGCAUUGCUUUGAAGAUAAUGUAAUUAAAUUCAUUUGUCCACUAUGAUGCUGUAACUGACUUGCAACAAAAUUGAAAGUACCUAUCCCAAGGAACUACAUCACGCAGCUAGGUUACAAAAUAAUAUUGAUGGUAACACUGAUGUCUUUCCCACCUGAGCAGUGUCAGCUAAGUGUUUAUAAAUUUAUAUUUACAUUACUUUUAUUUCAAUAUCUUCACACAAUUUUGUUUCUUUGGGAAUUUUCUUGUAUUACGAAGUCCAAUACAAAUGAACUAAAUGAUUUGCAAAUGGCACUUAACUGCAUCCUAAGGGCCACAUAUUUGCUAAGUCUUCCAAACCAAAACUGCUCCAGUUCACAAUGUGGUUUGAAGACAUGUAGACGAAUUUUAUUUCCCUUGGAGGGCACAGUCAUUCAGUUUUAACAUUCUGGAACAUCUGUGGUCAGUUCUGAAGCAAGAUAAUAUGAUGAAUAUUUCUUUGUUAGUCACUGUUGACGUAACUGCUCCUCUGCACAAUUAAUGCAAAUUUAGCCUACAUGCCUUUCUUCUAGGCAAUUACUCCUAUUCCACUGUUGAAUAUUUAUUACAAACUGGUAGCACAUAUACCUUUAUGUGCCUUUAGUUGCACAAGCAGUAUUACAAGCUAAUAUGAAUAACAACAUGAAUUAAAAGAAUAGAGUGCUACUCACCACACAGAGAUGACAAUGAAUAACAGACAAGCACAUUUAAAAAUGAACUAUCAGAGGUUUAGCUAUUGGACAAAGUCAUUCAUCAGAUGGAGUAACUCACAAAAACAUUUGACAAGCAGAUAGUGAACUCCUAUGUGCAUCAUCAUGAGAUGCUGUGUUGGGGUGGUGUGAGGUGGGAGAGGAGGAGAAGUUGCAGAGAAUGGGAAAGAACUAUGCAGAUGAGCUGGGAGGAUAAAAUGCAUGUCUGAGGCUGGAGUGGGAGCAGGCAAGUGGAGGACAGAGACAAACAAGGUCUGGAAUGUCAUGGGAACUAAAGACCUGUUGCAGAGGGAGUUUCCACAUGCACAAUUCAGAAAAGUUGGUGUUGAUGGUGGGAUCCAGAGGGCAUGGGCUCACCAAAGUCACGUACACUGUAUUCUUCGCAACUGCUUGGUCAAGCAGUCUCUUUGCCAUUCAUGUGGGCACAAAGUUGCCGAUCUCAAGUUCUAGUCUCAAUCUUCAAUAGUCACUGUGUCUAUCACCUUCCCUGCUCCCACACCAGCCUCACACAGGCCUCCUGUUCCCCCGGAUGAUCUGCAUAAUCCUUUCUUUUUCUCUGCUUCUCCCUCUCCUUCUGCCCUGCCCCAGAACAGCUCUCCCGAUGCAGCACUUAGCAGCCUACCUACCACAUCAUGCAUGUUCCCAUGGCAGUAAAACACAUUCCUCCACCUGCAAAAAUGAUCUUUGGAACAACUCUGAGUGCAAUUCAAAAUUUAUGUCGAUUAUUUCCCUACAUGUUGUUUGGUAAUGCCUCCUUAACAAUCUCUGAUUAUGUACACAUAAUACUGUUUGAAUUAUAUUUACAAGUAUUCCACGUGUAUAUCCAGCUAGUAAGUGUUUCCUUAAGAGUUUAUUUCACAAAUUGUGUUUUGCUACAUGUACAAAUGCCUCUCACAGCAUACUACAAAGUCCAAGUUUUUGUCACUCAACUUGGGUGAAUGUGGCCAGACGCCAGCUGAUACCAGAGAAUUUCUGAAUACAAAAAGAGAUGGCCAAGUCUAAAAUCUCCUAGAAAUCAACAGCAGGUGCUUGCCGAUCGAGCUUCACUUGUGAUCUG